rnacentral:rRNA from 1 species
GAUGAACGCUGGCGGCGUGCCUAAUACAUGCAAGUCGAGCGAACGGACGAGAAGCUUGCUUCUCUGAUGUUAGCGGCGGACGGGUGAGUAACACGUGGAUAACCUACCUAUAAGACUGGGAUAACUUCGGGAAACCGGAGCUAAUACCGGAUAAUAUUUUGAACCGCAUGGUUCAAAAGUGAAAGACGGUCUUGCUGUCACUUAUAGAUGGAUCCGCGCUGCAUUAGCUAGUUGGUAAGGUAACGGCUUACCAAGGCAACGAUGCAUAGCCGACCUGAGAGGGUGAUUGGCCACACGGGAACUGAGACACGGUCCAGACUCCUACGGGAGGCAGCAGUAGGGAAUCUUCCGCAAUGGGCGAAAGCCUGACGGAGCAACGCCGCGUGAGUGAUGAAGGUCUUCGGAUCGUAAAACUCUGUUAUUAGGGAAGAACAUAUGUGUAAGUAACUGUGCACAUCUUGACGGUACCUAAUCAGAAAGCCACGGCUAACUACGUG